CUCGGAAUCACUGGGCGUAAAGCGCACGUAGGCGGAUUGUUAAGUCAGGGGUGAAAUCCUGGAGCUCAACUCCAGAACUGCCUUUGAUACUGGCGAUCUUGAGUCCGGGAGAGGUGAGUGGAACUGCGAGUGUAGAGGUGAAAUUCGUAGAUAUUCGCAAGAACACCAGUGGCGAAGGCGGCUCACUGGCCCGAUACUGACGCUGAGGUGCGAAAGCGUGGGGAGCUAACAGG
rnacentral:rRNA from 1 species